AAUCUCUUAGCUCGGCUGGUAGAGCAUGCACUUACAAAGCGUAGGCGGCAUCCAUGGGUGGGUUCAAAUCCCACCGAGGUUA
rnacentral:tRNA from 1 species